CCUACGGGAGGCAGCAGUGAGGAAUAUUGGUCAAUGGACGAGAGUCUGAACCAGCCAAGUAGCGUGAAGGAUGACUGCCCUAUGGGUUGUAAACUUCUUUUAUAUGGGAAUAAAAUGUUCCACGUGUGGGAUUUUGUAUGUACCAUAUGAAUAAGGAUCGGCUAACUCCGUGCCAGCAGCCGCGGUAAUACGGAGGAUCCGAGCGUUAUCCGGAUUUAUUGGGUUUAGAGGGAGCGUAGGUGGAUUGUUAAGUCAGUUGUGAAAGUUUGCGGCUCAACCGUAAAAUUGCAGUUGAAACUGGCAGUCUUGAGUACAGUAGAGGUGGGCGGAAUGCGUGGUGUAGCGGUGAAAUGCUUAGAUAUCACGAAGAACUCCGAUUGCGAAGGCAGUUCACUGGACUGCAACUGACACUGAGGCUCGAAAGUGUGGGUAUCAAACAGGAUUAGAUACCCGAGUAGUC
rnacentral:rRNA from 1 species